CCCAUAUCACGUUGAAUCACCGGUUCCCGUCUGAUCAGCGAAGUUAAGCUAUAUUGAACCUGGUCAGUACCUAAAUGGGUAACCGCUGGA